UCUCUCUCUGAAGCUGUUAAAAUGAAAGCAAAUUGAGUUCCUCUCCGGAAGCAGCACAUGUGUGGAAGAGGCUGAACUCAGGGACCAAAGAACUGAAAGAACAAGAGAAACGAUUGUGUGGGAAGGACAUGCUGGACCCUCUGUCCCCUUUGUCAGAAGAUGCAAGGACAUAGAUUCGCUAGUUUCAAAUUUGGCAGGCCGUCCGUGGCUGGCAUCACGAUUUCCCUGAGGGCCUCGGGGACAUGCUCCUCCAAACGUUCUGGCCUACAGUCCCUAGGCUGUGGCGCUGGUCCUCAUAGCCCAGAGUAGUGGCUGGAGUGCCAGCUUACACACAUGCUCUCCAGCCAGCAGGAUGAAGAAAGUGGCUACAAAGGCAGUGACUCCUCCCUCUUCAGGAUAUUUCACGGAAGCACCAUCUAGCACUUUCUUGAACUUGAUUGCAUGGCAAUAACCAACUGCCAGCGAUGGUGCUGUGCAGUUUUCCAGCACCAUCUGUAACUGAAGACACGAGAGAUUCAGUUUCCUGUUGACCACAUGAGAAAUGAAAUCACUUAUGUUACAGGGAUGUGGGGAGAAUCGAAUAAGGUAACACGUAGAAGUGCUCUGUUGGCUGUCUGCACAAUCACUGUUGUUAUGAUGGUGUCUAAAAUUUUGCAGACGUCUGUGUAAAGGAGAAUCAUUCGUGGAGCAUUUGUUGACCAAAAUAGUGGGUGGUAAGAUAUGGCUUCUGUUCUAAACACUUGCAGUGCUGAUGCAGAGACAGGACAUCCACGUGACAUCCUAAAUAACACAAGGUCAUGUGUAAGUGCUGGAGGAUGCUAGGGGUCAGGAGCUCCAGUCAGCCCGGGCUGAGCAUCUGUGGUGGUCUGCAAGGGUGACCUAAUCGUUCAGACCCAAUGGGAGGGGUAUCAGAGGACUCACCAGGAAUGCUGGGUGCACAGAUUUGAUUGAGAAGAUUAGAACACGAUGGAGGAGCGAGUAGUCAGUUUUUCUGAAAUUCUAAUUGGGGGUAGCAAUUGGGAUCUGUAGCUUUUUCUUCUGCGCCGUCUCAACAAAGCCAAUUAAGUCUUAUUGCAUCUAUACAUCACCACGUGUACAGGCCAUAAGCAGGA